GUGCUCCUCCUGUCCACAAACUGACCACGACCAUCUGCCCCAGAGCUCACCCCAAUCUGAGGACACUAUAAAACCCAAUACCAGCUCUGAGCCCUGCAAAAGAGGAUGAAGGAGGGGUCCUGUUAAUCUCCAGUUCCCCCUUUUUCACACACGUGUUCUGUCUUUCAAAAAAACUAUCAAGUACAAAAUAUUUUAGGUGUUAAAAAUGUUACGCAGUUCUUCCUUCCUUCCUCUCCGUUGGUUUCUUAUACUUACAGUUUUUGCAGUUAUUACAGAGAUGCUGGCGUGAGGAUGUGUGGCGAAACAGUGCACGUGGAGUCUUCGUGUCAGAGACUUCACACCCAGAAACAGAAAAGACAGUGACAACUGUAGCUUUUUAUGGAAUGUGAAAAGACAUUUUGGGCUGACGGACCUUCUGUCAGAUACAACAAAGAAUUGGGCCCUGUCCCCCCUGGUUUGGAGCUGGUCCUUGGACCUCAGAGCGCGUGGGGGUGUAAAGAAAAAUCAACUUAAAUCAUCUUAUAAUCAACUCUAAAAUGAACUGGAAGCCGCUGCAACAACGCUAAAAUCUGGUGUCUCCAGCGCCUCUGUGCAUGGCCCCUCCCACCAGAGCAGCACAAAUGAAGACUUGUCUCUUUCCAAACGCUCUUAAAGGACGAUCGUUUUGACUGUUGACCGUGACACCUUCAUCAGCAAAAUGUCC